GAUGAAGAACGCAGCGAAAUGCGAUAAGUAAUGUGAAUUGCAGAAUUCAGUGAAUCAUCGAAUCUUUGAACGCACAUUGCGCCCGCCAGUAUUCUGGCGGGCAUGCCUGUCUGAGCGUCAUUUCAACCCUCAAGCAACUUCUGCUUGGUGUUGGGGAUCGGCCGUCAAACGCCGCCCCCGAAAUCUAUUGGCGAUCUCGCUGUAGCUUCCUAUGCGUAGUAGUAACAUCUCGCAUCUGGAGAGCGGCGCGGUCAUGCCGUAAAACACCCAACUUCUCAAGUUGACCUCAGAUCAGGUAGGAAUACCCGCUGAACUUAAGCAUAUCAAUAAGCGGAGGA
rnacentral:misc_RNA from 1 species